GCUCCCUUAGGUCAGCGGCGGACGGGUGAGUAACACGUGGGUAACCUGCCUGUAAGACUGGGAUAACUCCGGGAAACCGGGGCUAAUACCGGAUGCUUGAUUGAACCGCAUGGUUCAAUCAUAAAAGGUGGCUUUCAGCUACCACUUGCAGAUGGACCCGCGGCGCAUUAGCUAGUUGGUGAGGUAACGGCUCACCAAGGCGACGAUGCGUAGCCGACCUGAGAGGGUGAUCGGCCACACUGGGACUGAGACACGGCCCAGACUCCUACGGGAGGCAGCAGUAGGGAAUCUUCCGCAAUGGACGAAAGUCUGACGGAGCAACGCCGCGUGAGUGAUGAAGGUUUUCGGAUCGUAAAACUCUGUUGUUAGGGAAGAACAAGUACCGUUCGAAUAGGGCGGUACCUUGACGGUACCUAACCAGAAAGCCACGGCUAACUACGUGCCAGCAGCCGCGGUAAUACGUAGGUGGCAAGCGUUGUCCGGAAUUAUUGGGCGUAAAGCGCGCGCAGGCGGUUUCUUAAGUCUGAUGUGAAAGCCCCCGGCUCAACCGGGGAGGGUCAUUGGAAACUGGGGAACUUGAGUGCAGAAGAGGAGAGUGGAAUUCCACGUGUAGCGGUGAAAUGCGUAGAGAUGUGGAGGAACACCAGUGGCGAAGGCGACUCUCUGGUCUGUAACUGACGCUGAGGCGCGAAAGCGUGGGGAGCGAACAGGAUUAGAUACCCUGGUAGUCCACGCCGUAAACGAUGAGUGCUAAGUGUUAGAGGGUUUCCGCCCUUUAGUGCUGCAGCAAACGCAUUAAGCACUCCGCCUGGGGAGUACGGUCGCAAGACUGAAACUCAAAGGAAUUGACGGGGGCCCGCACAAGCGGUGGAGCAUGUGGUUUAAUUCGAAGCAACGCGAAGAACCUUACCAGGUCUUGACAUCCUCUGACAACCCUAGAGAUAGGGCUUCCCCUUCGGGGGCAGAGUGACAGGUGGUGCAUGGUUGUCGUCAGCUCGUG
rnacentral:rRNA from 1 species